rnacentral:sRNA from 1 species
AAAAACUGCAGCCAUACAAAGCCUAAAUCAUUUUUUUUUGGUUUUGGU